rnacentral:rRNA from 1 species
CCUUACCUACUCUUGACAUCCAGAGAACUUUCCAGAGAUGGAUUGGUGCCUUCGGGAACUCUGAGACAGGUGCUGCAUGGCUGUCGUCAGCUCGUGUUGUGAAAUGUUGGGUUAAGUCCCGCAACGAGCGCAACCCUUAUCCUUUGUUGCCAGCGGUUCGGCCGGGAACUCAAAGGAGACUGCCAGUGAUAAACUGGAGGAAGGUGGGGAUGACGUCAAGUCAUCAUGGCCCUUACGAGUAGGGCUACACACGUGCUACAAUGGCAUAUACAAAGAGAAGCGACCUCGCGAGAGCAAGCGGACCUCAUAAAGUAUGUCGUAGUCCGGAUUGGAGUCUGCAACUCGACUCCAUGAAGUCGGAAUCGCUAGUAAUCGUAGAUCAGAAUGCUACGGUGAAUACGUUCCCGGGCCUUGUACACACCGCCCGUCACACCAUGGGAGUGGGUUGCAAAAGAAGUAGGUAGCUUAACCUUCGGGAGGGCGCUUACCACUUUGUGAUUCAUGACUGGGGUGAAGUCGUAACAAGGUAACCGUAGGGGAACCUGCGGCUGGA